rnacentral:rRNA from 1 species
UACGUAGGGUGCAGGCGUUAAUCGGAAUUACUGGGCGUAAAGCGUGCGCAGGCGGUUUGUUAAGACAGAUGUGAAAUCCCCGGGCUUAACCUGGGAACUGCGUUUGUAACUGGCAAGCUAGAGUGUGGCAGAGGGGGGUGGAGUUCCAAGUGUAGCAGUGAAAUGCGUAGAUAUUUGGAGGAACACCAAUGGCGAAGGCAGCCCCCUGGGUUAACACUGACGCUCAUGCACGAAAGCGUGGGGAGCAAACAGG